GACGAACGCUGGCGGCGUGCUUAACACAUGCAAGUCGAGCGGAAAGGCCACUUCGGUGGUACUCGAGCGGCGAACGGGUGAGUAACACGUGAGUAAUCUGCCCCUGGCUUUGGGAUAGCCACCGGAAACGGUGAUUAAUACCGGAUACGACCACUUCUCGCAUGGGAUGGUGGUGGAAAGUUUUUCGGCCAGGGAUGUGCUCGCGGCCUAUCAGCUUGAUGGUGAGGUAAUGGCUCACCAUGGCUUCGACGGGUAGCCGGCCUGAGAGGGUGACCGGUCACACUGGGACUGAGACACGGCCCAGACUCCUACGGGAGGCAGCAGUGGGGAAUAUUGGACAAUGGGCGGAAGCCUGAUCCAGCAACGCCGCGUGAGGGAUGACGGCCUUCGGGUUGUAAACCUCUUUCGGUGGGGACGAAGCGCAAGUGACGGUACCUGCAGAAAAAGGACCGGCUAACUACGUGCCAGCCGCCGCGGUAACAC
rnacentral:rRNA from 1 species